GAUGAACGCUGGCGGCGUGCCUAAUACAUGCAAGUCGAGCGAACAGACGAGGAGCUUGCUCCUCUGACGUUAGCGGCGGACGGGUGAGUAACACGUGGAUAACCUACCUAUAAGACUGGGAUAACUUCGGGAAACCGGAGCUAAUACCGGAUAAUAUGUUGAAUCGCAUGGUUCAACAGUGAAAGACGGUCUUGCUGUCACUUAUAGAUGGAUCCGCGCCGCAUUAGCUAGUUGGUAAGGUAACGGCUUACCAAGGCAACGAUGCGUAGCCGACCUGAGAGGGUGAUCGGCCACACUGGAACUGAGACACGGUCCAGACUCCUACGGGAGGCAGCAGUCGGGAAUCUUCCGCAAUGGGCGAAAGCCUGACGUAGCACCGCCGCGUGUGUGAAGAAGGUCUUCGGAUCGUAAAACUCUUUUAUUAGGGAAGAACAAAUGUGUAAGUAACUAUGCACGUCUUGACGGUACCUAAUCAGAAAGCCACGGCUAACUACGUG
rnacentral:rRNA from 1 species